rnacentral:tRNA from 1 species
UCCCUGAUAGCCUAGUAGUUAAGGGUUCAGCAUUUUCACUGCUGUGGCCUGGGUUCGAUCCCUGGCCUGAGAA